rnacentral:rRNA from 1 species
GAUGAACGCUGGCGGUCUGCUUAACACAUGCAAGUCGAACGGACCCUUCGGGGUUAGUGGCGGACGGGUGAGUAACGCGUAAGAAUUUGCCUCUAGGAGGGGGAUAACAACUGGAAACGGUUGCUAAUACCCCAUAUGCUUUCGAGUGAAAUGGUUUUCCGCCUAGAGAGAAGCUUGCGGCUGAUUAGCUUGUUGGUAAGGUAAUGGCUUACCAAGGCGACGAUCAGUAUCUGGUUUGAGAGGAUGAGCAGCCACACUGGGACUGAGACACGGUCCAGACUCC